rnacentral:rRNA from 1 species
UACAGAGGGUGCAAGCGUUGUUCGGAAUUAUUGGGCGUAAAGCGCGUGUAGGCGGCUUUGCAAGUCGGGUGUGAAAGCCCUCAGCUCAACUGAGGAAGUGCGCCCGAAACUGCAGAGCUUGAGUACCGGAGAGGAUGGCGGAAUUCCCCAAGUAGAGGUGAAAUUCGUAGAUAUGGGGAGGAACACCGGUGGCGAAGGCGGCCAUCUGGACGGUCACUGACGCUGAGGUGCGAAAGCGUGGGGAGCGAUCCGG